rnacentral:lncRNA from 1 species
GGCAGGGUUCACAGAGCUAUUUUCAGUUCUCUUGCAGGAUCUCCUUCCCAGCCUUCAGAAAUUGCCGGUCUGGGAGUUGGGGGCAAGGAGAAGAUCCUGAAUUAGACCUUUACGAGAAGCACAGUUUUGUCUUCAGUUUCCUCUCCCCCCACCCGGAAUGGCCUGAGCCGAAGCCAGCUCCCUCCGAGAAGUCAUUACCGCCUGACUUGCGUUUGAUAUUUAGACACCUUGGUCACAACAUCUUGCAUUCUCUCGGGAUGCUGAUUUCUAACUGCUCUUUGGCCUUUCCUGCAUUGGUCCUCCUCAGGCAGGGGAUCCCUGCUCUUCUAUAUUAGUGAGAAAACCAAGGCUCAGAGAAACUGUGGAUUUUCUAAGGAUGCUGGCUCCCCGUCCCCUGUCCACCAUGAGUCAAAGCAAUGUGAGUCCCUCACCAGAUGCAACUGCCCAGUCUUGGACUUUCCAGUGACCAGAAUCAUGAGCCAAAUAAACCUCUUUUCUUUAUG